rnacentral:misc_RNA from 1 species
UCUUCGUAGGUGAACCUGCGGAGGGAUCAUUAGUGAAUCUUUUGGGAGUCCCUCUUAACCGGAGAAGGCCCAUCUCACUAUUUUCACACACUCGUGCAUUCGUCCCCUUUUUUUCUACACACGCUUGUGCAUUGAAACAUGACAAGUCUGGUUGAAUCCAAUUGAUAACAAAUGAAAAACUUUCAGCAAUGGAUCUCUUGGCUCUCGCAUCGAUGAAGAACGCAGC